GACGAACGCUGGCGGCGUGCUUAACACAUGCAAGUCGAGCGAUGAAGCACCUUCGGGUGUGAAUUAGCGGCGAACGGGUGAGGAACACGCGAGAAAUCUGCCUUCAACACUGGGAUAACUCCGGGAAACCGGGGCGAAUACCGGAUAUGAAACCUGCGGGCAUCCGCGGGUUUGGAAAGUUUUUCGGUUGAAGAUGAUCACGCGGCCUAUCAGCUUGUUGGUGAGGUAAUGGCUCACCAAGGCGACGACGGGUAGCCGGCCUGAGAGGGCGACCGGCCACACUGGGACUGAGACACGGCCCAGACUCCUACGGGGGGCAGCAGGGGGGAAUAUUGGGCAAUGGAGGAAACUCUGACCCAGCGACGCCGCGUGCGGGAUGAAGGCCUUCGGGUUGUAAACCGCUUUCAACAGGGAAGAAGCGAAAGUGACGGUACCUGCAGAAGAAGCACCGGCUAACUAUGUGCCAGCAGCCGCGGUAA
rnacentral:rRNA from 1 species